rnacentral:misc_RNA from 1 species
GUGGGAGGGGGCUUGCCCCCGAUUGCGGUGGGUCAGUCAGUACAUGCAUUGACUGAUACAGCGCAAUCGGGGGCAAGCCCCCUCCCAC